ACACUGUUUUUAAUUAAAAACAAUUUUUUAAAUUUAUUCUUGUAUAUAUAUGUGUGUGUGUGUGUGUGUGUGUGGUAGGUCAUUACAUCCCUCUUCUUCUUUGACUCCCCAUUAUGCAGUAUUACUACAUUUUUUACAAAUAAUAUUUAAUGUAAUAUAUAUAUCAUGUAACUUUGACUCUAGAAUCUACCGAAGAACAUUGGGAUGAAUAUAAACGUUAAGUUUCCAAGUUUCUAAUUAAAAUAUUAGUAAUUAACAAAGUUAUUAGUAUAAUAUAAAAUUUAACCGCACAAAACAUACGCGAACAACUUUUGCUGGUUGACACGCGGUGCGAAGCCGGAUGUCGCCAUCAAGCGAAUGGUGACGAUAAAUUAGCAGCCAUUGAUACCCUCGGCUGUUAUUUCGGCGAAGGAGCGGGAACAAAAUGGGGAAGAAAAUUAGCCGCGAUAAAGGGUACUCGAGGAAGCAUACGCUCGGGAGAAGAUGGGACAAGGAUAAAGAGAAGGCGAAGCGAAGAGCGCUCGCACGACAACCACUCGAUGAUUACAUUCGAAGAUUACAUAUUCCAUCCGUUUGUCGUCAUUAAACCCGUUCUCUUCCCGUGUCACUCACGUGCUUCAUACCGUAUACUAUAUAUCACGGGAACAGAUAGCAAAUGUAGACGCAUAUACUCCCAUCCAAAAACAGGAGUAUUAUUGCUAUUAUGUAAAAAUGCGAAACUAGGAUACAUAUAUUGAUAAAAACAACUCUAAUACAAUUUGUAAAAUAAAUUACAUAAUAUUAAAAAUUCUACAAAACUUUUGGCCUUCAUUUCAAUAAUGUGUCUCCUUCUUACUUUUUCGUUUUUCAUUUUUACACAAUCUUUGCGGCACAUAACUUAUGUGUAUUUCAGUCAGUUUACAAUUAAAAUAAGUUGAGCACAGAUUAUCACGAUAAUUUCACGAGAGACGAACCGGAAUUUUUUUUACGGCUAGGAUAAUUUCGUACCGAGAGACCAAAUGACAUUCUAGUGUUUCUUAUUCUUAGACUCGUCUGAUAAUGCGUCGUACCGGAAGAAGUUACCGCCGGAAGUUCGAUUCUCAGGAUCGAUUCCGUAUGCUAUCGGGCGUCGCGGGUGCGUGCGCGUCUCGAUGAUAGACGACAACGAGAGGACGGAACGAACGCGACCGGCGUUUACGAGUCGCGAAGCCCGACUCGGAGCAGAUCCAGAGAGAGCGCAUAGCUGAUCACGUCGUUCGGCUGAUUCGCAUAUAGGAAUGUAAUUAGGCGCAUGAUACAGAUAUGGUAAUACCGUUCCACGCAUAAUUACAUGUCGUUGCGGGCUACACUCUGAAUAUGAAUGUGGUACGAAAUUCAAAUUCGCGCAAAAUGUGCACGAGAAGUAUUAACAAAUAAAAAAAAAUUAACAACGUUUCGAAGUUCCUAUUUUAUACAGCAUGAAAUAUUAUAUAUGUAACUUUUUGUUCUCUAAAAAAUAAAUCAGAAUCUUAAUGCAUAA